GUUUUUGAAGUCCAGGAUGAAAUGAAGCAUGAAUGCUAAUGAAUGCAGGCUUUGUGUUCAUCUGUUCAGACAGCAGCAGGCCCCGCAUACGUGUUAUGAAAGUUACCCUUUAUUUGGCGCAAACACUUAACGAGUUUCCAAAUGAAUCCUGUUCUCUGGAUUAGCUCUUUCCAGACCGAGCAGUUUGUUGGACACUUUUGGCCUACACCAUCGGCAGCAUGAGCCUAACGGGGAUCGAUCUGUCUCUUAACGGGACGGCCUUAUUGAAACCAAAUGACACAGAAACACAAGCCGCUCUCUAUGAAGUCAAGGUGUUCAACAUCACCCUAUCAUCAAUAGCUCUGUGCAUCCUGGCAGUGACAGGAAUCAUCAGCUGUAUCUCGUACAGAAGACACAGAAGGUGA